rnacentral:rRNA from 1 species
UUGGAGGGCAAGUCUGGUGCCAGCAGCCGCGGUAAUUCCAGCUCCAAUAGCGUAUAUUAAAGUUGUUGCAGUUAAAAAGCUCGUAGUUGAAUUUCGGGAUUGACGUGAUGGUCAUGCCUUAAGGGGUAUGAACUGUCACAGUUGAUUUCUCACCUUCUGGAGAAACUUGAUGUCCUUUAUUGGGUGUCUUGCGGAUCCAGGACCUUUACCUUGAAAAAAUUAGAGUGUUUAAAGCAGGCAUUUUUGCUCGAAUACAUUAGCGUGGAAUAAUAGAAUAGGACGGCAUGGUUCUAUUUUGUUGGUUUCUAGGAUCACCGUAAUGAUUAAUAGGGAUAGUUGGGGGCAUUAGUAUUCAAUUGUCAGAGGUGAAAUUCUUGGAUUUAUUGAAGACUAACUACUGCGAAAGCAUUUGCCAAGGAUGUUUUCAUUAAUCAAGAACGAAAGUUAGGGGAUCGAAGACGAUCAGAUACCGUCGUAGUCUUAACCAUAAACUAUGCCGACUAGGAAUCAGACGAUGUUAAUUUUUUAAUGACACGUUUGGCACCUUACGGGAAACCAAAGUGUUUGGGUUC